CCUACGGGAGGCAGCAGUAGGGAAUAUUGCUCAAUGGGGGAAACCCUGAAGCAGCAACGCCGCGUGGAGGAUGAAGGUUUUCGGAUUGUAAACUCCUUUUGUUAGAGACGAUAAUGACGGUAUCUAACGAAUAAGCACCGGCUAACUCCGUGCCAGCAGCCGCGGUAAUACGGAGGGUGCAAGCGUUACUCGGAAUCACUGGGCGUAAAGAGCGCGUAGGCGGGAUAGCAAGUCAGAUGUGAAAUCCUAGGGCUUAACCAUAGAACUGCAUUUGAAACUGUUAUUCUAGAGUAUGGGAGAGGUAGGUGGAAUUCGUGGUGUAGGGGUAAAAUCCGUAGAGAUUAAGAGGAAGACUCGUGGCGAAGGCGACCUGCUAGAACAUAACUGACGCUGAUGCGCGAAAGCGUGGGGAGCAAACAGGAUUAGAUACCCUUGUAGUC
rnacentral:rRNA from 1 species